rnacentral:rRNA from 1 species
UACGAAGGGGGCUAGCGUUGCUCGGAAUCACUGGGCGUAAAGGGCGCGUAGGCGGCUUAUCAAGUCGGGGGUGAAAGCCCGUGGCUCAACCACGGAAUGGCCUUCGGUACUGGUAGGCUUGAGACCGGAAGAGGACAGCGGAACUGCGAGUGUAGAGGUGAAAUUCGUAGAUAUUCGCAAGAACACCAGUGGCGAAGGCGGCUGUCUGGUCCGGUUCUGACGCUGAGGCGCGAAAGCGUGGGGAGCAAACAGG